UGACGAGUUUGAUCCUGGCUCAGGAUGAACGCUAGCGGCAGGCUUAACACAUGCAAGUCGAGGGGUAUAGUUCUUCGGAACUAGAGACCGGCGCACGGGUGCGUAACGCGUAUGCAAUCUACCUUUUACAGGGGGAUAGCCCAGAGAAAUUUGGAUUAAUACCCCAUAGUAUGUUGAAGUGGCAUCAUUUAACAUUAAAGUUCCAACGGUAAAAGAUGAGCAUGCGUCCCAUUAGCUAGAUGGUAAGGUAACGGCUACCAUGGCUACAAUGGGUAGGGGUCCUGAGAGGGAGAUCCCCCACACUGGUACUGAGACACGGACCAGACUCCUACGGGAGGCAGCAGUGAGGAAUAUUGGACAAUGGGUGCAAGCCUGAUCCAGCCCAUGCCCGCGUGCAGGAUGACGGUCCUAUGGAUUGUAAACUGCUUUGUACAGG
rnacentral:rRNA from 1 species